UUGUACAUAUACAAAUUUCUAGUGGGGUGACACCCAUUCUCCCACAGCAAGAUUCCUUUUUGAGAGUGGACAGUGAGCAUCUAUAGGUGAAGGUGCUAAGGAAGCAAAUGGUAUCCUAGUUGAGCCUUCACCAUGGAAGCUUGUAUAUGUAGCUGGCCUGGAGAUAAACGAGUAAGAGGAAACAGGAAAUUGAAUGGCAGUAAAGGAGAAAUGAAAGAAAAAGGACUGGGAACAAAUGUGACAUUACCAGCAGAAAGGAGAACAUCAGAAGCGGAACCGCAAGAGAUGAGGGAACCCUAAAGAUGAACAAGUACUAGGACUUCCAAUAAUAAUUCACACUUAUUAGUACUUACUGUGUGCUAGGCACUGGAUAUACAUUUUAUAUGAGUUUCUUCAUCUCAUUUAAUCCUUACAACAAACACUGUGAUAGACACAAUUGUGAUGCCUAUUUUACAAAAGAUAAAAAUGCUCUUUAAAUGAAAAAACAAAACCCAAGUCCCCCACAACAUUUAAAAGAAGUUAAGAGGGGAGAGGAUAAAAAGAACCAGAAAAAAAAUGGGACAAAUGGCACAAAAUCAGAUAGUAGAAAUAAGUAUAAAUAUA